AGCAGGCUGCCCAACGCCGGGAACAUCAUGUAAAAUGCGUCCAUCUGGGGAUUGCCAGUGCGGAUGGGAUUAAUGGACGGCAUCUGGCCAAGGAUCUGAAUUGAAAAAUAUAAUCAAGAGGAUUGCAUUAAACAAACUCAAUGAUUAAUUCUCUCUAAUCGUACUCACCUCAUCCUGACUGGGAAUCCUUGGUUUGGUGUCCGUGGUGGAAUUGGUCGUUGAUCCAGCAUCCGUUGCAGGAUCAUCAGAGGUUACUUCACUUUGUCCGGCAGCCUGGACGACAAGAAGCGCCAGGAGCGGCAGAAGGCUAAACAAUCUCAUCCUGUAUUUGGGCAAAACUCGGAAAAAUCGCUAAAGAUCGAUCUGUGUUCGCCGGAGCUCGUUGGCCGACUGACUGCCGACUGCCGCCGGUUAGUGGUCCAAAUAGAUUUUUUGCCACCGCGUCGGCGGCGAAGAACUGCAGACGUCUUCAAAAUCGUGACCCGGACCCGGGUCCGCCACACGCACCGGGGUACGGCCAGUGUUUCCGUGUGUGUGCCCCCAAUUGAAAAACAGACCGCAGCAGCCGUCGCAGCUGCAUUUGCUGCAAAAAACCUUGCCCAACUAUUCCGCUCACCACCAUUUUCCACGAAUUCAGCGCAAAUGAUGCACAGUAGACAGUAUGAACGAAAUCAGGUCUGGAAUCACACGGAAGGCGCCGAAAAUAUACCACAAAGCCGCGAAAUCAAUAGGGGAAGUUAUCUUCACGUCACUCUUUUGCCACUAAUAAUUCUCAACUAAAAAAAAAAAAAACAAACAAUUGAAAUAAAUAUUU
ensembl:ncRNA asRNA:CR43615 antisense RNA:CR43615